GAAAUGCGAUAAGUAAUGUGAAUUGCAGAAUUCAGUGAAUCAUCGAAUCUUUGAACGCACCUUGCGCUCCUUGGUAUUCCUUGGAGCAUGCCUGUUUGAGUAUCAUGAAAUCUUCAAAGUAAAUCUUUUGUUAACUCAAUUGGUUUCUACUUUGGUAUUGGAGGUCUUUGCAGCUUCACACUUGCUCCUCUUUGUACAUUAGCUGGAUCUCAGUGUUAUGCUUGGUUCCACUCGGCGUGAUAAGUUAUCUAUCGCUGAGGACACUGUAAAAGGUGGCCAAGGUAAAUGCAGAUGAACCGCUUCUAAUAGUCCAUUGACUUGGACAAUACUUUUAUGAUCUGAUCUCAAAUCAGGUAGGACUACCCGCUGAACUUAAGC
rnacentral:misc_RNA from 1 species